rnacentral:rRNA from 1 species
CAGCAGCCGCGGUAAUACGUAGGGGGCGAGCGUUGUCCGGAAUUAUUGGGCGUAAAGCGCGCGCAGGCGGUCCCUUAAGUCUGAUGUGAAAGCCCACGGCUCAACCGUGGAGGGUCAUUGGAAACUGGGGGACUUGAGUGCAGGAGAGGAGAGCGGAAUUCCACGUGUAGCGGUGAAAUGCGUAGAGAUGUGGAGGAACACCAGUGGCGAAGGCGGCUCUCUGGCCUGUAACUGACGCUGAGGCGCGAAAGCGUGGGGAGCAAACAGGAUUAGAUACCCUGGUAGUCCACGCCGUAAACGAUGAGUGCUAAGUGUUAGAGGGGUCACACCCUUUAGUGCUGUAGCUAACGCGAUAAGCACUCCGCCUGGGGAGUACGGCCGCAAGGCUGAAACUUAAAGGAAUUGGCGGG